GGCGGACGGGUGAGUAAUGCCUAGGAAUCUGCCUGGUAGUGGGGGAUAACGUCCGGAAACGGACGCUAAUACCGCAUACGUCCUACGGGAGAAAGCAGGGGACCUUCGGGCCUUGCGCUAUCAAAUGAGCCUAUGUCGGAUUAUCUAGUUGGUGGGGUAAUGGCUCACCAAGGCGACGAUCCGUAACUGGUCUGAGAGGAUGAUCAGUCACACUGGAACUGAGACACGGUCCAGACUCCUACGGGAGGCAGCAGUGGGGAAUAUUGGACAAUGGGCGAAAGCCUGAUCCAGCCCUGCCGCGUGUGUGAAGAAGGUCUUCGGAUUGUAAAGCACUUUAAGUUGGGAGGAAGGGCAGUAAAUUAAUACUUUGCUGUUUUGACGUUACCGACCGAAUAAGCACCGGCUAACUCUGUGCCAGCAGCCACGGUAAUACAUAGGGUGCAAGCGGUAAUCGGAAUUACUGGGCGUAAAGCGCGCGUAGGUGGUUCGUUAAGUUGGAUGUGAAAUCCCCCGGGCUCAACCUGAGAACUGCAUUCGAAACUGACAGCUAUAGUAUGGUAGAGGUG
rnacentral:rRNA from 1 species